AUGAGUUCUCUAAGAACAUCCUCGACCAGCACCACACUGGAACUUACUACUGUGCUGUGGCUGCUUGUGGGAAGAUCAUUUUUGGGAAUGGAGCAUCAGUAGAACUGAGUCAUCAGCCUGUUCUAGUUGUUACCCUGGGAGUGGCGCUGGUCUUGUUCUUAAUCUGGAAUAUCACUCUAAUCUACUGGAGCUGGAGGAGAGAGAGCCGCAGUGGAGAAUAAUUUUGAGGGCUACUAUGUCAAUCUUUUAUAUUUGAAGAUGAAGAAAAAGGGACACAAGGAGAACAUUUUCACCCCAAGUGAGGUCCUUCCCUGCUACAGACCAAUUCAGAAAGACAACAUUGCUGACAAAACAGGAAAAAUAAUAAGAAAAUGAGAAAAAAAUGUCCUACUGAAUUAAAGGUGCUGAUGUGAAGUGUCAGUGUUCUCUGGAUAUUUUUAAUAGCAUGAAGAGGGUGUUAAAUGUACCAAUUAAUGUUAAAUCUAAA